GUGGGGAAUCUUGCGCAAUGGGCGAAAGCCUGACGCAGCCAUGCCGCGUGAAUGAUGAAGGUCUUAGGAUUGUAAAAUUCUUUCACCGGGGACGAUAAUGACGGUACCCGGAGAAGAAGCCCCGGCUAACUUCUUGCCAGCAGCCGCGGUAAUACGAAGGGGGCUAGCGUUGCUCGGAAUUACUGGGCGUAAAGGGCGCGUAGGCGGACAGUUUAGUCAGAGGUGAAAGCCCAGGGCUCAACCUUGGAAUUGCCUUUGAUACUGGCUGUCUUGAGUACGGGAGAGGUGAGUGGAACUCCGAGUGUAGAGGUGAAAUUCGUAGAUAUUCGGAAGAACACCAGUGGCGAAGGCGACUCACUGGCCCGUUACUGACGCUGAGGCGCGAAAGCGUGGGGAGCAAACAGGAUUAGAUACCCUAGUAGUCC
rnacentral:rRNA from 1 species